AUUCAUGCUAAGUGGGAAAGGAAGUCGGGAGGCUAAGACAGCCAGGAGGUUGGCUUAGAAGCAGCCAUCCUUUAAAGAAAGCGUAAUAGCUCACUGGUCGAGCCGCCCGGUGCCGACAAUCCAACGGGGCUCAAGCAUGGUACCGAAGUCGCGGGUCUGUUCUUCGGAACAGGCGGUAGGAGAGCGUUCUGUUCAGCGUUGAAGGCAGACCGAAAGGACUGCUGAAGCGGACAGAAGUGACUCUGCCAGCAUAAGUAGCGAUAAGCCAGGUGAGAACCCUGGCCGCCGUAAGACUAAGGUUUCCUGAGAAAGGUUAAUCCGCUCAGGGUUAGUCGGAGCCUAAGGUGAGGCCGAAAGGCGUAGCCGAUGGACACACGGUUAAUAUUCCGUGACCUCCUAAGGAGAUACCGAUGCGGGGACGCAGCUUUGAGCUUGGCAGUGGCAAUGGUUUCCACUGUUGGGGGAGAAGAGGACCGGAGAGGCAAAUCCGCCGGUUCGUCUGCCAGGAAAAGCCGCUAAGGGCCAAGGGAGUCCGUACCACAAACCGACACAGGUGGUCGAGAUGAGUAUUCUAAGGCGCUCGGGUGAUAGGUUGUUCAGGAACUAGGCACAUUGACCCCGUAACUUCGGGAGAAGGGGUGCCCACCUCAGACGUGGGCCGCAGAGAAUAGCGCAGGGCGACUGUUUAACAAAAACACAGGUCUCUGCAAAGUCACAAAAACGACGUAUAGGGGCUGACGCCUGCCCGGUGCCGGAAGGUUAAAAGGAGGGGUUAGCCGCAAGGCGAAGCUCUGAAUUGAAGCCCCGGUGAACGGCGGCCGUAACUAUAACGGUCCUAAGGUAGCGAAAUUCCUUGUCGGGUAAGUUCCGACCUGCACGAAUGGCGUAACGAUCCUGCGACUGUCUUAACAACCUGCCCGGCGAACUUGUGGUUCCGGUGAAGACGCCGGAUGCCCGCCACUAGACGGAAAGACCCCGUGCACCUUUACUGCACCCUAACAAUGAAUCGUGGGGCGGUCUGCGCAGCAUAGGUGGGAGGCUUUGAAACC
rnacentral:rRNA from 1 species